AGAGAGAGACAUGCGCGCAUAUCAAUAAGCGGAGGAAAAGAAACUAACAAGGAUUCCCUUAGUAACGGCGAGUGAAGCGGGAAGAGCUCAAAUUUGAAAUCUUCGAGGUUUUACCUUGACGAAUUGUAGUUUAAAGAAGUGUUUUCUGCUGAAGUUUUGGUAAAAGUUCUUUGGAAUAGGACGAUCAUAGAGGGUGAGAAUCCCGUAUUUGACCAUUAUUUUCAGCUUUGUGAUACACUUUCAAAGAGUCGGAUUGUUUGGGAAUGCAGUCCAAAAUGGGUGGUAAAUUUCAUCUAAAGCUAAAUAUUGGCGAGAGACCGAUAGCGAACAAGUACCGUGAGGGAAAGAUGAAAAGAACUUUGAAAAGAGAGUUAAACAGUACGUGAAAUUGUCAAAAGGGAAGCGUUUGACACCAGUGUUGUUUUCUCGAAAAUCAAUUAAAAAUGGCUCGAUUUUGUAUUGUUGAGACCUUAAAAGCUCACUGUACAUUUUUCGUGUCUUUUUUAAUGCACCUUUCGUUUAACAAGUCAACAUCAGUUUCUUUUGUUGUAAAAGGGUCAUUGGAAGGUGGCUUUCCUUUCGGAGAAAGUGUUUAUAGCCUUUGGCCUCUGCAAUCGGAGAGACUGAGGUCUGCAGCGUAGACUCUUCGGGGUUAGAUACAUUUGUGCUAAGUUAUAGCUUUUUAUAGACAACUUGUUGACUAUAAUUAGUCUUGUAGCUUACUCGCUUAUGCUAUUUUACCUACGCUUAGGAUGUUGAAGUCAUCGUAUCGCGC
rnacentral:rRNA from 1 species